CCCUGGGAAGGAAAGCGUGGAUGAAACGGCGGGGCCUGAUCUUACCUGAAUGGGUGUGAAUUCACAUCAACCAGCAUUUCACACAUGGAAAGCUAGAGGCGGAGUACUGGAGAACGGUAGUGGUGUGCUUGAUGACCUGUUUUUGCACUAAGUGGUUCUGCUAAUGUUGGAGCCUGUGAUCUACAUUUCGGUGAUAUGUUUUCAGGACAAUUGAGCAAUGUGGUACUUUAUGUCUCUGAAGAUGUCCUGUGAGGUAUGCGGCCUGGAGACGGGGUGCAAGCCCAUGAUCAACUCCAUUUCUCACCGAUCUCGCUGAUUAAAGCAUCGAGGCAGCUACAUACACUGCGGUUUUAAUGUUUCGAUCUCCUGCCAUGCUUCAGUCGGUGUCACCGGUGUGGAAUCAGUUCGUUCGCAGGGCUGCACCCUGAAGAUGCCCAAUUCCAGGCUGCUUCUGGGCACAUCAAAGACACCAGGCCGUUCAACAAGUUCUAAGAGCAGGAACUCAGUUUGAAUGCAGCUGUGGAUCACGGACUCCAACAGAACCCUAUCCACCUUGAAAAGGAAAGAAGAGACAUUAGAGAGAAAAAAUUUAAAUUGUGUUUUGCAGAUGGACUGAGAGAAGACAGCCUCUGGCACCAUCUUUAGCUCCUCCCACAUAUUGUUAUAAUUGAAACGGUUCUACAUAAUUCACAAAUACUGUCAUUGAGCUGUUCUGUCCACUUUAUGAAAUGGUCUCUGAUGUAACAAUGUCAGUGUAAGGUGAUUGCUUUUGGUUUGUUCAUAAUGGAAGUAAA